UUCCACUACCACUUACUAGCUCUGUGACCCUGGGCCAGUUACUGAGCCCAACUAUGCCUCAGUUCCCGCUUCUGUGACACAGGAUCAGAAGGUUCUUGUGGGGACUGAGAUGGAGUCUGGAAGACAUGCACAAAAGACGUUCAUAGGCACUGGCCAAGGUUGCGUUGACCAGAGACCUGAGGACAGAGCAUGGAGCUCGGUGCUGGGCCACUGCCCACCUGAAGCAGUCAGUUCCCUCCCUGAAGCCCUGGGCAGCUCUCUGCUUGACAUUCCAUCCUCUGGGGGUUGCUCAUGGUGAGGUCUGUGCCCUCCACCCGGCAUCCCCUGAGGCCUGCACUCCACAUUUCCUCUCUGAAGCUGGAAGGGGUUUUGGGUGGAAAAGGCUCCAAGGGAGUGUGCAGCAGUUUUGUGAAUGGAGUCCUGUGUGAAGGCUUGUUGUUAUCUAAUUAUCGCCAGUCUAAGCCAUUAUAAAACAUCGUGGUUAUCAGCUAAACCCUGCCUUCACGGAAAAGUCAUGGUGUUUCUCUGAACCGUGGUUUCCUUUUCUGUAACAGGAGGAAAACACCCUCUGUCAUCCAAUGCAGUUAACCUCUGAGAUGGCUCCCAGGGAUCUCCAUCUGGUGUUCGUGUCCUUGUGUAGUGCCAUCUCUUUGAGUGUGAGCUAGAACUAGUGACUGACUCCCUUCUAGGGAACAGACCAUAGCAAAAGUGAUAGGAUGUCCACAGGGCAAGGACCUCAGGGGGGCUUCUGGCCAACAGCCAGUGAGGAACUGAAAUCCUGCCAACAGCCACAUGAGGGAACUUGGAAGCACGUGUUCCCCGCAGCUGAGCAAGCCUUCAGAUGAGAACGCAGCCCAGAGGCACCCAGCUCAGCCAUGCCUGGAUUCUUGGUCCACAAAAACUACAAGGCAAUAAAUGUUUCUUGUUUUAAG